UACGAAGGGGCUAGCGUUGUUCGGAAUCACUGGGCGUAAAGCGCACGUAGGCGGAUGUGUCAGUCAGGGGUGAAAUCCCGGAGCUCAACUUCGGAACUGCCUCUGAUACAGCACGUCUUGAGUCCGGAAGAGGUGGGUGGAAUUCCUAGUGUAGAGGUGAAAUUCGUAGAUAUUCGCAAGAACACCAGUGGCGAAGGCGGCUCACUGCCCGAUACUGACGCUGAGGCACGGAAAGCGUGGGGAGCAAACAGG
rnacentral:rRNA from 1 species